GCGCCUUCGGGCGACGGGACGGGUUAGUAACGCGUGGGAACGUGCCCAGAUCUACGGAAUAGCCACUGGAAACGGUGAGUAAUACCGUAUACGCCCUUCGGGGGAAAGAUUUAUCGGAUUUGGAUCGGCCCGCGUUAGAUUAGGUAGUUGGUGGGGUAACGGCCUACCAAGCCUACGAUCUAUAGCUGGUUUUAGAGGAUGAUCAGCAACACUGGGACUGAGACACGGCCCAGACUCCUACGGGAGGCAGCAGUGGGGAAUCUUGGACAAUGGGGGCAACCCUGAUCCAGCCAUGCCGCGUGAGUGAAGAAGGCCCUAGGGUCGUAAAACUCUUUCGCCUGUGAUGAUAAUGACAGUAGCAGGUAAAGAAACCCCGGCUAACUCCGUGCCAGCAGCCGCGGUAAUACGGAGGGGGUUAGCGUUGUUCGGAAUUACUGGGCGUAAAGCGCACGUAGGCGGAUUAGAAAGUUAGAGGUGAAAUCCCGGGGCUCAACCCCGGAACUGCCUUUAAAACUACUAGUCU
rnacentral:rRNA from 1 species